GUGCACUCUAUUCAGCAGCACCUCUGCUAAAAUUAGAAUGAUACAAAGAAGAGGAUCACGGUCCCUGUGCAAGGGUGACACAAACAUUCAUGAAGCAUGUCCUCCUUUU